CAGUCGCCACGGUAAGACAGAGGAUGCAAGCGUUAUCCGGAAUCAUUGGGCGUAAAGCGCGUGUAGGCGGCUUGACAAGCCUGCUGUGAAAGUCCAGGGCUCAACCCUGGAAUGCCGGUGGAAACUGUCAAACUAGAGUCCGGAAGGGGAGUGUGGAAUUCCUUGUGUAGCGGUGAAAUGCGCAGAUAUCAGGAGGAACACCAACGGCGAAAGCACUCUGCUGGGCCGACACUGACACUGAGAGACGAAAGCUAGGGGAGCAAAUGGGAUUAGAUACCCCUGUAGUCCCUGUCUCUUAUAC
rnacentral:rRNA from 1 species